rnacentral:rRNA from 1 species
AGAGUUUGAUCAUGGCUCAGAUUGAACGCUGGCGGCAGGCCUAACACAUGCAAGUCGAGCGGUAGAGAGAAGCUUGCUUCUCUUGAGAGCGGCGGACGGGUGAGUAAUGCCUAGGAAUCUGCCUGGUAGUGGGGGAUAACGCUCGGAAACGGACGCUAAUACCGCAUACGUCCUACGGGAGAAAGCAGGGGACCUUCGGGCCUUGCGCUAUCAGAUGAGCCUAGGUCGGAUUAGCUAGUUGGUGAGGUAAUGGCUCACCAAGGCGACGAUCCGUAACUGGUCUGAGAGGAUGAUCAGUCACACUGGAACUGAGACACGGUCCAGACUCCUACGGGAGGCAGCAGUGGGGAAUAUUGGACAAUGGGCGAAAGCCUGAUCCAGCCAUGCCGCGUGUGUGAAGAAGGUCUUCGGAUUGUAAAGCACUUUAAGUUGGGAGGAAGGGUUGUAACCUAAUACGUUGCAAUCUUGACGUUACCGACAGAAUAAGCACCGGCUAACUCUGUGCCAGCAGCCGCGGUAAUACAGAGGGUGCAAGCGUUAAUCGGAAUUACUGGGCGUAAAGCGCGCGUAGGUGGUUUGUUAAGUUGGAUGUGAAAGCCCCGGGCUCAACCUGGGAACUGCAUUCAAAACUGACAAGCUAGAGUAUGGUAGAGGGUGGUGGAAUUUCCUGUAGCGGUGAAAUGCGUAGAUAUAGGAAGGAACACCAGUGGCGAAGGCGACCACCUGGACUGAUACUGACACUGAGGUGCGAAAGCGUGGGGAGCAAACAGGAUUAGAUACCCUAGUAGUCC